UCUGGAGAAACACAGCUGGAUGGCAGCCAAAGAGGUCACAAGGUGUGUGGUGAGAAAAGUUACCCAGACGUGGCAGUGAGGACUCCAGGACUGGCCGGAUCAAGAAUCAAGGGGCAGGACAGGUGACAUCUCACCCGGUGCAGACUGCGAGUGACAGCCAGAGGAAAGCUUCAAGUCUUGUUUCUCCUGGCUUUUCCCAACCCUGGCAGGCCAUCAAGGAAUGCGUACCUAUCGUCUCAUCCAUGUGUCCACUCCACUUCUCCAUCUCGUCCCAGUGCCUUUUCCUGGUUCUGCACCAGCCCAAGGAAAGACCUUUGACUGCCCUGCUGUGAAUGCUGGCAGGAGUUUACUACUGUUGCUACAUGGCUGAGCAGGCAAGGUGCAGAAACUAUUUCCCUGACCUUCACAAGGCCACUGUUACACAGGGCAGGCAAAACUAGAUCCAUUGUACUUUGUCAGAGCAGGCAGGACUUGGAAAAGCACCUGGUAAACACAUCAUCAGUGCUGCAACCAGUGCUGGCUGAUGAGCAGAGACCGGCUGUCAGGCAUGGAAAGGCCAAGCUGCUAGACACUGUCACUAUCAGAACUGGGGUUUUGGGAAAGGACGAAGCAGAGGAGUCACCAUGAAAAAUUAAGUAGGUAGGGCUAAAAUUGAAAGGAGAAUGAGACUGAGAAAAACCUGUGCCAGCCAAGUUCACAGUGUAGAAAUAUAUCAAUUUCAAUGUAAAGUCUAGUGGUCUGAAUUUCCACUCAAAACUUUUUAGUUUUAGUGCAACUGGUUUUAUUUUCAAACACAAAACAUAGACCCUGCUGGUUCUGUGCUCUUUUCUUAAUUGAACGACAGCAUCUCUUUUGCGACAAGUCUUAGGUUUCAGUAUACUUGUUGCAGCUAAUUUGCGUUUUUACAGUCCAAAGUCUUAGAAAAUUUAUUAAAUGUAUUAAAAUUUGGUCAGAUACAUGUACAUUAGCAGGCUUAAAACCAGGAAGGAACACUUACAGUCAGAAUUCACUGUCUUGAACUUCAUCCACAAUAACCAUUAUUUUGAUAAAAAAUGAUGAUGGGAGUAUAAAACAUGGAAGAAAUACAGUUUAAAUUAGGAAGCCAACUUUGGAAACAUUGUAUAGGUUCAAUGCUUAUGCCAGUUUCUAAACCUAUUCCUUUAAUUAAUGUGACAGUGAUAAUUUUCACUGACUGCAAGUAUAAUUCCAUGAGCAUUUUCUCUGCUAGCAGUGAAAUAGUAUAGUUAUUUGUUAAGGGUUUUUCCCCUCAAGUGUUAAAAUUAUCUGGAUCACUUCACUGUUCCAUGAGGCACCAUGGUUCUUUGUCUGAGAAAGCAUCCUGUGUGAAAGACAAGGCAUUGUGACACAAAGCUGGAAGAAUGGAUCAGCUUCUUAAUGUGACUUUGUUGCUACAAAAGAUUUUGUGGGGAAUGCUUUCUUAGUAGCAGGAACAUUUUACAGCAUGUUCUUUGAAUUGCAUUUUAAAUCUCUUUGGCACUAUUUUCUCCAUUACUUUAGUGAAGUGGCAUCUCCAUUGAGGAUUUCAUUACCUCAUAACUGCUGAAGUCUCAUCACAUGUACUCAAACUACUUCUGUUAAUGUGUCACUGUGCAUGAAAAAGAGAACCUGACUACUGUGUUCUGUGUUCAAAAAUUCUCCCUGAACUCGGUGCAAGUGUCACAGUUAAAUACAGUAAAAUGCAAAUCCAA